UCCGAGUUGACCCCGGCAGUCUCCUAUGAGUCCCCACCAUAACGUGCUGGCAACAUAGGACAAGGGUUGCGCUCGUUGCGGGACUUAACCCAACAUCUCACGACACGAGCUGACGACAGCCAUGCAGCACCUGUGUCCAGGCUCCCUUUCGGGCACCCUCCAAUCUCUCAGAGGUUCCUGGCAUGUCAAGGGUAGGUAAGGUUUUUCGCGUUGCAUCGAAUUAAUCCACAUCAUCCACCGCUUGUGCGGGUCCCCGUCAAUUCCUUUGAGUUUUAAUCUUGCGACCGUACUCCCCAGGCGGUCUACUUCACGCGUUAGCUGCGUUACCAAGUCACUUAAGACCCGACAACUAGUAGACAUCGUUUAGGGCGUGGACUA
rnacentral:misc_RNA from 1 species